rnacentral:rRNA from 1 species
CCUACGGGCGGCAGCAGUGGGGAAUCUUCCGCAAUGGACGAAAGUCUGACGGAGCAACGCCGCGUGAGUGAUGACGGCCUUCGGGUUGUAAAGCUCUGUUAAUCGGGACGAAUGGUUCUUGUGCGAAUAGUGCGAGGAUUUGACGGUACCGGAAUAGAAAGCCACGGCUAACUACGUGCCAGCAGCCGCGGUAAUACGUAGGUGGCAAGCGUUGUCCGGAAUUAUUGGGCGUAAAGCGCGCGCAGGCGGAUUGGUCAGUCUGUCUUAAAAGUUCGGGGCUUAACCUCGUGAUGGGAUGGAAACUGCCAAUCUAGAGUAUCGGAGAGGAAAGUGGAAUUCCUAGUGUAGCGGUGAAAUGCGUAGAUAUUAGGAAGAACACCAGUGGCGAAGGCGACUUUCUGGACGAAAACUGACGCUGAGGCGCGAAAGCCAGGGGAGCGAACGGGAUUAGAUACCCCUGUAGUC